rnacentral:rRNA from 1 species
AUUAAUUUGAGAGUUUGAUCCUGGCUCAGGACGAACGCUGGCGGCGUGCCUAAUACAUGCAAGUCGAACGAACUCUGGUAUUGAUUGGUGCUUGCAUCAUGAUUUACAUUUGAGUGAGUGGCGAACUGGUGAGUAA